rnacentral:rRNA from 1 species
GUCCAGACUCCUACGGGAGGCAGCAGUGGGGAAUAUUGCACAAUGGGGGAAACCCUGAUGCAGCGACGCCGCGUGAGUGAAGAAGUAUUUCGGUAUGUAAAGCUCUAUCAGCAGGGAAGAAAAUGACGGUACCUGACUAAGAAGCCCCGGCUAACUACGUGCCAGCAGCCGCGGUAAUACGUAGGGGGCAAGCGUUAUCCGGAUUUACUGGGUGUAAAGGGAGCGUAGACGGCAGCACAAGUCUGGAGUGAAAUCCCGGGGCUUAACCCCGGAACUGCUUUGGAAACUGUGCGGCUGGAGUGCAGGAGGGGUAAGCGGAAUUCCUAGUGUAGCGGUGAAAUGCGUAGAUAUUAGGAGGAACACCGGUGGCGAAGGCGGCUUGCUGGACUGUAACUGACGUUGAGGCUCGAAAGCGUGGGGAGCAAACAGGAUUAGAUACCCUCGUAGAA